GAAACCUUGCCCGCCAAACCUACAACCCAUUUUUCACAGGUGAAGACAUCUGCGAAUCCAAGCCCAUCUUUAAAGACGUGUUAAAGCGAACACCUGUUCUGAAUAUGUUAUCUGCUGACAAACGUGACAACUGUCAAAUCCGCCAUUUACAUUUUUCCACCCCCAGAGAUUGCAAUGUGACUCUUUCCACCGCCAACGAUUGAUAUCGAGAGGUUCGAUUGUUGGUAGUGUCAGCCUCAGAUGAUGGUAUGUAUGUCAAGGUACAAUCAACCAGACCGACUGACGUAUUUAAAAAUGAAUGAUUGGCCGACUGGCUGCAUAACUUCUGGGUCUUCUGGUUCACCAGUCCACCUCCAAACUCAU